rnacentral:tRNA from 1 species
GGGGAGGUGGCUCAGUGGUUAAGAGCACUGGCUGCUGCUGCUCUUCCAGAGGUCCUGAGUUCAAUUCCCAGCAACCACA